GGCCUAACACAUGCAAGUCGAGGGGUAUUUAUCUUCGGAUAGAGAGACCGGCGCACGGGUGCGUAACGCGUAUGCAAUCUACCUUUUACAGAGGGAUAGCCCAGAGAAAUUUGGAUUAAUACCUCAUAGUAUAUAGACUCGGCAUCGAGAUUAUAUUAAAGUCACAACGGUAAAAGAUGAGCAUGCGUCCCAUUAGCUAGUUGGUAAGGUAACGGCUUACCAAGGCUACGAUGGGUAGGGGUCCUGAGAGGGAGAUCCCCCACACUGGUACUGAGACACGGACCAGACUCCUACGGGAGGCAGCAGUGAGGAAUAUUGGACAAUGGGCGCAAGCCUGAUCCAGCCAUGCCGCGUGCAGGAUGACGGUCCUAUGGAUUGUAAACUGCUUUUAUACGAGAAGAAACACUACUUCGUGAAGUAGCUUGACGGUAUCGUAAGAAUAAGGAUCGG
rnacentral:rRNA from 1 species